rnacentral:rRNA from 1 species
UACGUAGGUGGCGAGCGUUGUCCGGAUUUACUGGGCGUAAAGAGCGCGCAGGCGGCUGGUCAAGUCCGAUGUGAAAGCUCCCGGCCUAACUGGGAAAUUGCAUCGGAAACUGAUCGGCUGGAAGGUGGGAGAGGGUAGCGGAAUUCCCGGUGUAGUGGUGAAAUGCGUAGAGAUCCGGAGGAACACCAACGGCGUAGGCAGCGCCCUAGACGAGACCUGACGCUCAGGCACGAAAGCGCGGGGAGCGAACAGG